AUCCUGGCUCAGGAUGAACGCUAGCGGCAGGCUUAACACAUGCAAGUCGAGGGGUAUAGUUCUUCGGAACUAGAGACCGGCGCACGGGUGCGUAACGCGUAUGCAAUCUACCUUUUGCAGAGGGAUAGCCCAGAGAAAUUUGGAUUAAUACCUCAUAGUAUAGCAGUUUCGCAUGAAACCACUAUUAAAGUCACAACGGCAAAAGAUGAGCAUGCGUCCCAUUAGCUAGUUGGUAAGGUAACGGCUUACCAAGGCUACGAUGGGUAGGGGUCCUGAGAGGGAGAUCCCCCACACUGGUACUGAGACACGGACCAGACUCCUACGGGAGGCAGCAGUGAGGAAUAUUGGACAAUGGGCGCAAGCCUGAUCCAGCCAUGCCGCGUGCAGGAUGACGGUCCUAUGGAUUGUAAACUGCUUUUGUAUAGGAAGAAACACUCCCUCGUGAGGGAGCUUGACGGUACUGUAAGAAUAAGGAUCGGCUAACUCCGUG
rnacentral:rRNA from 1 species